GUCACAUUUUCAUUUGUUUGAUAAACAAUGGCGAGUCGGCGUCUGCGCCUUAAGUUUGUGAUGUUUUGCCUGGUGCGUGAACUCCAAAGGUUGAGUACAGUAGAAAAAAAGCAGAGGCGCACUCAAGGGCUUGAUUCUAAUACAAAUUUGUAUUGAGAGCCGAGGUAUUUUCAACAAGUCUACA